AUUGAACGCUGGCGGCAGGCCUAACACAUGCAAGUCGAGCGGAGCGGCGGACGGGUGAGUAAUGCCUAGGAAUUUGCCUGGUAGUGGGGGAUAACGUCCGGAAACGGGCGCUAAUACCGCAUACUAUCAGAUGAGCCUCGGUCGGAUUAGCUAGUUGGUGGGGUAAAGGCCUACCAAGGCGACGAUCCGUAACUGGCCUGAGAGGAUGAUCAGUCACACUGGAACUGAGACACGGCCCAGACUCCCACGGGAGGCAGCAGUAGGGAAUCUUGGGCAAUGGACGAAAGCCUGACCCAGCAAUGCCGCGUGUGUGAAGAAGGUCUUCGGAUUGUAAAGCUCUUUAGGUUGGGAGGCGGUACCAACAGAGUAAGCACCGGCUAACUACGUGCCAGCAGCCGCGGUAAUAC
rnacentral:rRNA from 1 species